rnacentral:ncRNA from 1 species
CCCGCUGAAUUUAAGCAUAUUAAUAAGCGGAGGAAAAGAAACUAACAAGGAUUCCCCUAGUAAUGGCGAAUGAAGCGGGAACAGCUCAAAUUUGAAAUCUCCGUUGCUUGCAACGGCGAAUUGUAGUUUCGAGAAGCACUUUCUCGGCGGAUCCGAGGUCGUCCAAGUUGCUUGGAACAGCACGUCGUAGAGGGUGACAACCCCGUCUGCGGCGACCUCGGCCGUUCACGAUGUGCUUUCGACGAGUCGGGUUGUUUGGGAAUGCAGCCCAAAAUGGGUGGUAAACUCCAUCUAAAGCUAAAUAUUGGCACGAGACCGAUAGCGAACAAGUACCGUGAGGGAAAGAUGAAAAGCACUUUGAAAAGAGAGUUAAAAAGUACGUGAAACCGUUAAAAGGGAAACGAAUGGGGUUAGCAAUGCGUCGUGCGAGAUUCAGCCGGUGGGUGGGCCAGGCGGGCGGUUGGCGGAUCUGAAUGGACCGCUGCCGUUCGGGUUGGUUUCCCGACCGUCGCACUUCUCGCAGGCGCGCGCCAACGUCGGUUAGGGCUGGGUUUCAAAGGCGGUGGAAGAGUAGGUUUGGACUCUCGGGCCCGAACUGUUGCAGUCCUCCGUUUGUCAUGGCCCGGACCUGACCGAGGAGCUCGCGGUGCAUGCCGUUCGGCUAGGGUCCCGUCUUCCCGGUCGGUCGUCGAAUGCGGUGGACUGCGUGCAGUGCGCCGCGACUGCUGCCGGUCGCGAGGGCGGUGAUUUCGUACUAUGCACCCACGACGUUGGCGAUCAUAUGGCCUCAUCCGACCCGUCUUGAAACACGGACCAAGGAGUCUAACAUGUGUGCGAGUCUUUGAGUGAUCGAAACUCCGAGGCGAAAUGAAAGUGAAGGCGACCUCGGUCGCUGAGGUGAGAGCCUUUUACAAAAAUAGGCGCAUCAUUGACCGACCUAUUCUACUCUUAGAAAGGUUUGAGUAAGAGCGCAUCUGUUGGGACCCGAAAGAUGGUGAACUAUGCCUGAAUAGGGUGACGCCAGAGGAAACUCUGGUGGAGGCUCGUAGCGAUUCUGACGCGCAAAUCGAUCGUCAAAUUUGGGUAUAGGGGCGAAAGACUAAUCGAACUGUCUAGUAGCUGGUUCCCUCCGAAGUUUCCCUCAGGAUAGCUGGAACUUACGGCAGUUUUAUCAGGUAAAGCGAAUGAUUAGAGGUCUUAGGGUUAAAACAACCUUAACCUAUUCUCAAACUUUAAAUUGGUAAGAAGUCCGACUUGCUUAAUUGAAGCCGGACAGUGAAUGCGAGUUCCUAGUGGGCCAUUUUUGGUAAGCAGAACUGGCGAUGCGGGAUGAACCGAACGCGCGGUUAAGGUGCCAAAGUCGACGCUCAUCAGACCCCACAAAAGGUGUUGGUUGCUCUAGACAGCAGGACGGUGGCCAUGGAAGUUGGAAUCCGCUAAGGAGUGUGUAACAACUCACCUGCCGAAGCAACUAGCCCUGAAAAUGGAUGGCGCUCAAGCGUCGCACCUAUACCGUGCCGUCGGAGCAGAUGCGAAGCUCCGACGAGUAGGAGGGCGUGGGGGUCGUGACGCAGCCUCUGGCGCGAGCCUGGGUGAAACGGCCUCCAGUGCAGAUCUUGGUGGUAGUAGCAAAUAUUCAAAUGAGAGCUUUGAAGACCGAAGUGGAGAAAGGUUCCAUGUGAACAGCAGUUGGACAUGGGUUAGUCGAUCCUAAGAGAUAGGGAAAUUCCGUUUGCAAGCGCCCGAUCUUGGGCCGCCUAUCGAAAGGGAAUCGGGUUAAUAUUCCCGAACCGGGACGCGGAUAUUGCCGUUCGCGGCAGAUGCGGUAACGCAAACGAACCCGAAGACGCUGGCGGGGGCCCUGGGAAGAGUUCUCUUUUCUUUUUAACGAGCUUUCACCCUGAAAUCAGCUUGCCCGGAGAUAGGGUUUAAUGCUCGGUAAAGCACCACACUUCUUGUGGUGUCCGGUGCGCUCUCGACGGCCCUUGAAAAUUCGGGGAAGACAUUGAUUUUCGUGUCCGGUCGUACUCAUAACCGCAGCAGGUCUCCAAGGUGAGCAGCCUCUGGUU